CCGCGCUCGCCGUUUCUCUUCCCAGCUCUGCCCUCGCUUGCUGGCCGGUCUCCGGGGUCAGCGCGGGGCCACCAUCCAGCCCCUUGGGACCUGCUCCAAGCAGCUGUCGAGGACGCACUGAGCCUGCGCAGCCAUGGCCUCGGCAGGGGCGGAGAGGAGGCCGGGGGUCCAGGAGGCCACGGUCGUGGGGCAGGGGCAGCUCACGGAGGAGCCCGGCAGCGCUCAGACCUCCGAGGUGUUCAGUGACGGAUCCCUAUGUCCUUUGCCCGGCCAUGGUGACCGAUGGCCUGUGUGUCACCUCUAGUGUCCAGUGGCGGGAGACCAGUUCCUGGUGCCAGCCCAUGAGGCCAACGGAACCCAGAGUGAAGACCAGCGCCCAGCAGGCGCAGCUUCGGAGCCGGAGCUCCAGGAGGAAGGACCCAAGCUGGGGGAGGAGAGGCCCAAGCCGUAUGCCGGGGCGCUAGAGGAGAGAGGCCCCAGGACCGUGGUCUCCAUUGUGAGGCCCCGUCAUGGUCCAAAGAGAAAGCCUCUCAAGUCCCUCAGCUUCCUGGGCCUUCAUGCCCAUCUUAAGGCUGAAGCUGAACUGCCACCCAGGCUGCCGCUGCAGGAGAAGGAGUCAGAGGGCAGCCAGAGUGAGCCCUCACCAUCUGCCAAACAGCACAAAAAAGCCAAGAAGCGCAAGAGCCUGGGGGCUCCCGUGCUCCACGCUGUGGCCAGCACAGUGUCUGCACCCUUAGAGACAUUGGGGCUGGAGCGAAAGGCCCAGCGCCUGCGGCCCCUCUACCAGUACAUCAACUAUUGCAACCCCGAGUUGAACCAGGCAGGGGAGGGGGACGGGGAGGCUGAGGUGGAGGCAGAGGCAGAGCUGGCCCCGGUUCCCGAGGAGGCAGGUGUGGAGCAACUGCAGGCCUUGCUGCCCUUGGCAGGUGAGCUGGGCCCAGGCCUCACUUUGCCCUGUCCCAGUCCACUAGUGACCCCCACCCAUGCUCUGGCUCCCUUCGGAGAGGAGGCUGGAGAGGAGCCUGGGGGCUUGCCCAGCUUGGGGGUGAGUGACCACCACAAGGCCGAGGUGGAUAAGUCAACCCAGGUGGACAUCGACAAGAUGCUAAGUGUCUGCACUGCUCCGCUUGUCCCUCCGCUCUCUCCUCAUUACAAGUGACUGUCCCGCCCCACUGGUGGCUCUCCUCUUUCCACACCUGAAUUUGGCUUCAGGCUUCCUGUGGGCCCAGGCCCUCUGGUGGCGGGGGCAAAUUUGGCACCUGCCCCCACUUGGGACUUUGGUCUUGCUGAAAAUAAAUAUUUUUCUUUUUCAAAGAC